UUACCUCGGACACGGGCCGGGCGCCUUUAUUUUUAUUCGAAAUCAUUAAAAAAAUUAAAACACUUAAACGCAGCAGUAGAGCCCUGUGCGGGACUGUUUUCUUCAUCCCGCUCCGCUCCCGCUGAAUUUCUGACCAUUACAGCCUGCAACCGCAACGUGUGUGUUACCCCCAAAUUCCACUACCUCCACUCCGCUCCGGCACGAACUCCGCAGCAAAAUCGGUCCCGUUGUAGUCAAUCAGAGCUAUUCCACUACUGCGGCAGUGUGGCGCCCUCUGUUCCGGCGUCCGGCAAAAAUAGAAUCGAUCCUAUUUUUGCCGGACGCCGGAGCACCUCCGCAGUCAAUGGACAGGAAUCACAACCGCCCAACAGGAAAGGGAGCAAGCACAACUUCCGUUAUUUCACAAUAAAUCGAUAAACAAAAAGCAUUUUUUGUUUCAUAUGCACAGGUUUAAAACUUUUAACAACUAUCAAUGGCGGCUGAAAUUUAAAUGCACAAAAGUAAGCCAUAAAUACAGUUUCCACUAUCAAAGUAGUCACACUUUGUUGAUCCAAACACUGCUGAUCUCUCAACACAAAUGAUGGGCAGAUUAAACAGUUCAUUUCGAUGCUUCUCCCACACAACAGGUGUUUGGAUCUAACUUCCGCGUUUAUUGCUCGGACUGUAUCGCAAGGUCUCGAAAAUCCCGCGCAUGCUUGUUUGCGCACCUCAGGUCUCCGCACCAGAGCGGAGCCGUUGUAGAGCGCGUACCAGUAAAAUUGAGUUCGGAAGCGAGCGGCUGCGGAAGGCGGGGGCGGAGCGGAGGUAGUGAAAUUUGGGGGUCCAACUGUGUGAAAUUCACCAGAACUCAUCUCUGAGUUGUUGCAUUAAAUUAAAUAGCCUACACCAUGACAAAUUGUAGUGUUUCAAUGUUUCAUUAAAGCACUCUGGUCUUAAAAAGAAAAAACUAAAUGUUUAGUGAGUUACUAGCCUUGCAAGUCAUCCAAUAUUUAUAAAGAGUCUGGUC
rnacentral:lncRNA from 1 species